rnacentral:rRNA from 1 species
UUCGCAAUGCCCGAAAGGGUGACGAAGCGACGCCGCGUGGGUGAAGAAGGCCUUCGGGUUGUAAAACCCUGUCAGGAGUUAUGAAAUGUAAGUGCGCUAAUAUCGUGCUUAUUUGACAAAGGCUCCAAAGGAAGCCACGGCUAACUCUGUGCCAGCAGCCGCGGUAAUACAGAGGUGGCGAGUGUUGUUCGGAAUUAUUGGGCGUAAAGAGCACGUAGGUGGGUUUGCAAGUCAGAUGUGAAAGCCUUCUGUUCAACGGAAGAAUUGCAUCUGAAACUGCUAAUCUUGAGUAUAGGAGGGGAGAGUGGAACUUCUGGUGGAGCGGUGAAAUGCGUAGAUAUCAGAAGGAACGCCGGCGGCGAAAGCGACUCUCUGGCCUAUAACUGACACUGAGUGUGCGAAAGCUAGGGGAGCAAACGGGAUUAGAUACCCCGGUAGUCCUAGCCGUAAACGAUGGGCACUAAGUAGAGGGGUUUU